AGAGUUUGAUCAUGGCUCAGAACGAACGCUGGCGGCGUGGAUAAGACAUGCAAGUCGAGCGAGAUUUUUUCCUGUAGCAAUACAGGGAAAAGUCUAGCGGCGAACGGGUGCUUAACACGUGGGCAACCUGCCAAGAAGUGGGGGAUAGCUCGCCGAAAGGCGAAUUAAUACCGCAUGUGAUCAGAGUGGACAUCCAUUCGAAAUCAAAGUCGGGGCAACCUGACGCUUCUUGAGGGGCCCGCGGCCUAUCAGCUAGUUGGUGAGGUAACGGCCCACCAAGGCUUAGACGGGUAGCUGGUCUGAGAGGACGACCAGCCACACUGGGACUGAGACACGGCCCAGACACCUACGGGUGGCAGCAGUCGAGAAUUUUUCUCAAUGGGGGAAACCCUGAAGGAGCGACGCCGCGUGGAGGAUGAAGGUCUUCGGAUUGUAAACUCCUGUCAUUGGGGAACAAUGCGUAAAUAUUAACUGUAUUUGCGUUGAUAGUACCCGAAGAGGAAGAGACGGCUAACUCUGUGCCAGCAGCCGCGGUAAUACAGAGGUCUCAAGCGUUGUUCGGAUUCAUUGGGCGUAAAGGGUGCGUAGGCGGCGCGGUAAGUCGGGUGUGAAAUCUCGGAGCUUAACUCCGAAACUGCAUUCGAUACUGCCGUGCUUGAGGACUGGAGAGGAGACUGGAAUUUACGGUGUAGCGGUGAAAUGCGUAGAUAUCGUAAGGAAGACCAGUGGCGAAGGCGGGUCUCUGGACAGUUCCUGACGCUGAGGCACGAAGGCCAGGGGAGCAAACGGGAUUAGAUACCCCGGUAGUCC
rnacentral:rRNA from 1 species